UACGUAGGGUGCGAGCGUUGCCCGGAUUUAUUGGGCGUAAAGGGCGCGUAGGCGGCUCGGCACGUCCGUUGUGAAAUCGCUCGGCUCAACUGGGCGAGGUCAGCGGAUACGGUCGAGCUUGAGCCAGCUAGGGGGCAAUGGAAUUCCCGGUGUAGUGGUGGAAUGCGUAGAGAUCGUAAGGAAGACCAGUGGCGAAGGCGGGUCUCUGGACGAGUUCCUGACACUGAGGCACGAAGGCCAGGGGAGCAAACGGG
rnacentral:rRNA from 1 species